rnacentral:rRNA from 1 species
CCCUUAGAUGUUCUGGGCCGCACGCGCGCUACACUGACGAAGUCAGCGAGCAUGUCCUACGCCGACAGGUGCGGGGAAUCUUGUCAAACUUCGUCGUGAUGGGGAUUGAUUAUUGAAAUUCUUGAUCAUCAACGAGGAAUUCCUAGUAAGCGCAAGUCAGCAGCUUGCGUUGAUUACGUCCCUGCCCUUUGUACACACCGCCCGUCGCUACUACCGAUUGAGCGGUCCGGUGAAGACUCAGGAGAUGGGCGCGUGCUUGGUUCGCCAACUGCGCUGCCUGCCAAAUUUGUCUAAACCUUAUCGCUUAGAGGAAGGAGAAGUCGUAACA